GCAGUGAGCCGGGUAACCGCUGCCAUCAGUAACCUUGCCGCGAGGUGAGAAGUGCUGGCGGGAGAGGAAAGUCCGAACUCCACAGGGCAGUGCGCCGGGUAAUUCCCGGGCGGGGCGACCCGACGGACAGUGGCACAGAAAAUAUACCGCCCGCCUUCGCGCGCUCACGCGCGCUACGGCGGGGUAAACCCGCGAGGGCUAGCCCCGCCGAAGCUGGAGCGGCCGAAAGGCCGCGAGAGCGAAGGCGGGUAAGGGUGAAAUGGUGGGGUAAGAGCCCACCGCGCGCGUGGUAACAAGCGUGGCAGGCCAAACCCCGCACGGAGCAAGACCAAAUAGGGAGACGCGGCCCCCCGGCGCAAGCCGGGGAUCGCCACAGGCGGCCCGCCUGAGGUCUCCGGGUAGGUAGCUCGACCCCGCCA
rnacentral:RNase_P_RNA from 1 species